UGGGAUGUAGCCAAGUUGGUAAGGCACGGGACUUUGACUCCCGCAUUCCGUAGGUUCGAGUCCUGCCAUCCCAGCCA
rnacentral:tRNA from 1 species